GACGAACGCUGGCGGCGUGCUUAACACAUGCAAGUCGAACGGAAAGGCCUGCUUUCCCUUGUGGAUUGCGGGUACUCGCGUGGCGAACGGGUGAGUAACACGUGAGUGAUCUGCCCCCAACUUGGGUAUAAGCCUGGGAAACUGGGUCUAAUUCCCGAUAGGACUGCAGGGUGGUGCCUGUGGUGGAAAACGAUUUUCUAGUGGUUGGGGAUGAGCUCGCGGCCUAUCAGCUUGUUGGUGGGGUAAUGGCCUACCAAGGCGGCGACAGGUAGCCGGCCUGAGAGGGUGGACGGCCACAUUGGGACUGAGAUACGGCCCAGACUCCUACGGGAGGCAGCAGUGGGGAAUAUGACACAAUGGGCGGAAGCCUGAUGCAGCGACGCCGCGUGGGGGAUGACGGCCUUCGGGUUGUAAACUCCUUUCGACCGCGAGGAAGCCACCUGGUUGGAAGGGUGGUGACGGUAGUGGUAGAAGAAGCACCGGCUAACUACGUG
rnacentral:rRNA from 1 species